AGAGUUUGAUCCUGGCUCAGGACGAACGCUGGCGGCGUGCCUAAUACAUGCAAGUCGAACGAACUCUGGUAUUGAUUGGUGCUUGCAUCAUGAUUUACAUUUGAGUGAGUGGCGAACUGGUGAGUAACACGUGGGAAACCUGCCCAGAAGCGGGGGAUAACACCUGGAAACAGAUGCUAAUACCGCAUAACAACUUGGACCGCAUGGUCCGAGUUUGAAAGAUGGCUUCGGCUAUCACUUUUGGAUGGUCCCGCGGCGUAUUAGCUAGAUGGUGGUAACGGCUCACCAUGGCAAUGAUACGUAGCCGACCUGAGAGGGUAAUCGGCCACAUUGGGACUGAGACACGGCCCAAACUCCUACGGGAGGCAGCAGUAGGGAAUCUUCCACAAUGGACGAAAGUCUGAUGGAGCAACGCCGCGUGAGUGAAGAAGGGUUUCGGCUCGUAAAACUCUGUUGUUAAAGAAGAACAUAUCUGAGAGUAACUGUUCAGGUAUUGACGGUAUUUAACCAGAAAGCCACGGCUAACUACGUGCCAGCAGCCGCGGUAAUACGUAGGUGGCAAGCGUUGUCCGGAUUUAUUGGGCGUAAAGCGAGCGCAGGCGGUUUUUUAAGUCUGAUGUGAAAGCCUUCGGCUCAACCGAAGAAGUGCAUCGGAAACUGGGAAACUUGAGUGCAGAAGAGGACAGUGGAACUCCAUGUGUAGCGGUGAAAUGCGUAGAUAUAUGGAAGAACACCAGUGGCGAAGGCGGCUGUCUGGUCUGUAACUGACGCUGAGGCUCGAAAGUAUGGGUAGCAAACAGGAUUAGAUACCCUGGUAGUCCAUACCGUAAACGAUGAAUGCUAAGUGUUGGAGGGUUUCCGCCCUUCAGUGCUGCAGCUAACGCAUCAAGCAUUCCGCCUGGGGAGUACGGCCGCAAGGCUGAAACUCAAAGGAAUUGACGGGGGCCCGCACAAGCGGUGGAGCAUGUGGUUUAAUUCGAAGCUACGCGAAGAACCUUACCAGGUCUUGACAUACUAUGCAAAUCUAAGAGAUUAGACGUUCCCUUCGGGGACAUGGAUACAGGUGGUGCAUGGUUGUCGUCAGCUCGUGUCGUGAGAUGUUGGGUUAAGUCCCGCAACGAGCGCAACCCUUAUUAUCAGUUGCCAGCAUUAAGUUGGGCACUCUGGUGAGACUGCCGGUGACAAACCGGAGGAAGGUGGGGAUGACGUCAAAUCAUCAUGCCCCUUAUGACCUGGGCUACACACGUGCUACAAUGGAUGGUACAACGAGUUGCGAACUCGCGAGAGUAAGCUAAUCUCUUAAAGCCAUUCUCAGUUCGGAUUGUAGGCUGCAACUCGCCUACAUGAAGUCGGAAUCGCUAGUAAUCGCGGAUCAGCAUGCCGCGGUGAAUACGUUCCCGGGCCUUGUACACACCGCCCGUCACACCAUGAGAGUUUGUAACACCCAAAGUCGGUGGGGUAACCUUUUAGGAACCAGCCGCCUAAGGUGGGACAGAUGAUUAGGGUGAAGUCGUAACAAGGUAGCCGUA
rnacentral:rRNA from 1 species